UAGAGUUUGAUCCUGGCUCAGAUUGAACGCUGGCGGCAGGCCUAACACAUGCAAGUCGAACGGUAACAGGAAGAAGCUUGCUUCUUUGCUGACGAGUGGCGGACGGGUGAGUAAUGUCUGGGAAACUGCCUGAUGGAGGGGGAUAACUACUGGAAACGGUAGCUAAUACCGCAUAACGUCGCAAGACCAAAGAGGGGGACCUUCGGGCCUCUUGCCAUCGGAUGUGCCCAGAUGGGAUUAGCUAGUAGGUGGGGUAACGGCUCACCUAGGCGACGAUCCCUAGCUGGUCUGAGAGGAUGACCAGCCACACUGGAACUGAGACACGGUCCAGACUCCUACGGGAGGCAGCAG
rnacentral:rRNA from 1 species